rnacentral:rRNA from 1 species
UACGUAGGGGGCAAGCGUUGUCCGGAAUCAUUGGGCGUAAAGCGCGUGUAGGCGGCUCGAUAAGUCUGCUGUGAAAGUCCAGGGCUCAACUCUGGGAUGCCGGUGGAUACUGUCGAGCUCGAGUCCGGAAGAGGCGAGUGGAAUUCCUGGUGUAGCGGUGAAAUGCGCAGAUAUCAGGAGGAACACCAAUGGCGAAGGCAGCUCGCUGGGACGUGACUGACGCUGAGACGCGAAAGCGUGGGGAGCAAACAGG